rnacentral:tRNA from 1 species
CAGGAAAUAGUUUAUUUUGAAAAUAAUAACUUUGGGAGUUGUUGAUACAAGGUUGAUUCUUGUUUUUCUGA